UACGGAGGGGGCUAGCGUUGUUCGGAAUUACUGGGCGUAAAGCGCACGUAGGCGGCUUUGUAAGUUAGAGGUGAAAGCCUGGAGCUCAACUCCAGAACUGCCUUCGAUACUGGAAGACUUGAGUCCGGGAGAGGUGAGUGGAACUGCGAGUGUAGAGGUGAAAUUCGUAGAUAUUCGCAAGAACACCAGUGGCGAAGGCGGCUCACUGGCCCGGUACUGACGCUGAGGUGCGAAAGCGUGGGGAGCAAACAGG
rnacentral:rRNA from 1 species